rnacentral:rRNA from 1 species
ACCUACUCUCCCACGCGGCAACCCGCGCAGUACCAUCGGCGCGGAAGGGCUUAACGGCCGUGGUCGGCAUGGGAACGGGUGUGUCCCCUUCGC